rnacentral:rRNA from 1 species
GGUUAAGCGACUAAGCGUACACGGUGGAUGCCCUGGCAGUCAGAGGCGAUGAAGGACGUGCUAAUCUGCGAAAAGCGUCGGUAAGGUGAUAUGAACCGUUACAGCCGGCGAUGUCCGAAUGGGGAAACCCAGUGCAAUUCGUUGCACUAUCGUUAACUGAAUACAUAGGUUAACGAGGCGAACCGGGGGAACUGAAACAUCUAAGUACCCCGAGGAAAAGAAAUCAACCGAGAUUCCCCCAGUAGCGGCGAGCGAACGGGGAGCAGCCCAGAGUCUGAAUCAGCUUGUGUGUUAGUGGAACGGUCUGGAAAGUCCGACGGUACAGGGUGAUAGUCCCGUACACCAAAAUGCACAGGCUGUGAACUCGAAGAGUAGGGCGGGACACGUGGUAUCCUGUCUGAAUAUGGGGGGACCAUCCUCCAAGGCUAAAUACUCCUGACUGACCGAUAGUGAACCAGUACCGUGAGGGAAAGGCGAAAAGAACCCCGGCGAGGGGAGUGAAAAAGAACCUGAAACCGUGUACGUACAAGCAGUGGGAGCACCUUCGGGUGUGACUGCGUACCUUUUGUAUAAUGGGUCAGCGACUUAUAUUCUGUAGCAAGGUUAACCGUAUAGGGGAGCCGCAGGGAAACCGAGUCUUAACUGGGCGUUAAGUUGCAGGGUAUAGACCCGAAACCCGGUGAUCUAGCCAUGGGCAGGUUGAAGGUUGGGUAACACUAACUGGAGGACCGAACCGACUAAUGUUGAAAAAUUAGCGGAUGACUUGUGGCUGGGGGUGAAAGGCCAAUCAAACCGGGAGAUAGCUGGUUCUCCCCGAAAGCUAUUUAGGUAGCGCCUCGUGAACUCAUCUUCGGGGGUAGAGCACUGUUUCGGCUAGGGGGUCAUCCCGACUUACCAACCCGAUGCAAACUACGAAUACCGAAGAAUGUUAUCACGGGAGACACACGGCGGGUGCUAACGUCCGUCGUGAAGAGGGAAACAACCCAGACCGCCAGCUAAGGUCCCAAAGUCACAGUUAAGUGGGAAACGAUGUGGGAAGGCACAGACAGCCAGGAUGUUGGCUUAGAAGCAGCCAUCAUUUAAAGAAAGCGUAAUAGCUCACUGGUCGAGUCGGCCUGCGCGGAAGAUGUAACGGGGCUAAACUGUGCACCGAAGCUGCGGCAGCGACACUAUGUGUUGUUGGGUAGGGGAGCGUUCUGUAAGCCUGCGAAGGUGGCCUGUGAGGGUUGCUGGAGGUAUCAGAAGUGCGAAUGCUGACAUAAGUAACGAUAAUGCGGGUGAAAAGCCCGCACGCCGGAAGACCAAGGGUUCCUGUCCAACGUUAAUCGGGGCAGGGUGAGUCGACCCCUAAGGCGAGGCCGAAAGGCGUAGUCGAUGGGAAACAGGUUAAUAUUCCUGUACUUGGUGUUACUGCGAAGGGGGGACGGAGAAGGCUAUGUUAGCCGGGCGACGGUUGUCCCGGUUUAAGCAUGUAGGCGGAGGUUCCAGGUAAAUCCGGUACCUUUUAACGCUGAGGUGUGAUGACGAGGCACUACGGUGCUGAAGUAACAAAUGCCCUGCUUCCAGGAAAAGCCUCUAAGCAUCAGGUAACAUUGAAUCGUACCCCAAACCGACACAGGUGGUCAGGUAGAGAAUACCAAGGCGCUUGAGAGAACUCGGGUGAAGGAACUAGGCAAAAUGGUGCCGUAACUUCGGGAGAAGGCACGCUGAUAUGUAGGUGAAGCCCCUGCGGGUGGAGCUGAAAUCAGUCGAAGAUACCAGCUGGCUGCAACUGUUUAUUAAAAACACAGCACUGUGCAAACACGAAAGUGGACGUAUACGGUGUGACGCCUGCCCGGUGCCGGAAGGUUAAUUGAUGGGGUUAUCCGUAAGGAGAAGCUCUUGAUCGAAGCCCCGGUAAACGGCGGCCGUAACUAUAACGGUCCUAAGGUAGCGAAAUUCCUUGUCGGGUAAGUUCCGACCUGCACGAAUGGCGUAAUGAUGGCCAGGCUGUCUCCACCCGAGACUCAGUGAAAUUGAACUCGCUGUGAAGAUGCAGUGUACCCGCGGCAAGACGGAAAGACCCCGUGAACCUUUACUAUAGCUUGACACUGAACAUUGAGCCUUGAUGUGUAGGAUAGGUGGGAGGCUUUGAAGCGUGGACGCCAGUCUGCGUGGAGCCAACCUUGAAAUACCACCCUUUAAUGUUUGAUGUUCUAACGUUGGCCCCUUAUCGGGGUUGCGGACAGUGUCUGGUGGGUAGUUUGACUGGGGCGGUCUCCUCCCAAAGAGUAACGGAGGAGCACGAAGGUUAGCUAAUCCUGGUCGGACAUCAGGAGGUUAGUGCAAUGGCAUAAGCUAGCUUGACUGCGAGCGUGACGGCGCGAGCAGGUGCGAAAGCAGGUCAUAGUGAUCCGGUGGUUCUGAAUGGAAGGGCCAUCGCUCAACGGAUAAAAGGUACUCCGGGGAUAACAGGCUGAUACCGCCCAAGAGUUCAUAUCGACGGCGGUGUUUGGCACCUCGAUGUCGGCUCAUCACAUCCUGGGGCUGAAGUAGGUCCCAAGGGUAUGGCUGUUCGCCAUUUAAAGUGGUACGCGAGCUGGGUUUAGAACGUCGUGAGACAGUUCGGUCCCUAUCUGCCGUGGGCGCUGGAGAAUUGAGGGGGGCUGCUCCUAGUACGAGAGGACCGGAGUGGACGCAUCACUGGUGUUCGGGUUGUCAUGCCAAUGGCAUUGCCCGGUAGCUAAAUGCGGAAGAGAUAAGUGCUGAAAGCAUCUAAGCACGAAACUUGCCCCGAGAUGAGUUCUCCCUGAGACUUUAAGUCUCCUGAAGGAACGUUAAAGACGAUGACGUUGAUAGGUCGGGUGUGUAAGCGUAGCGAUACGUUGAGCUAACCGAUACUAAUGAACCGUGAGGCUUAACCUU